ensembl:miRNA
UAGAUUGAGGAAGGGGCUGAGUGGUAGGCAGUGCCGCUGUGCUUUGAUGAAGACCCAUGUGGCUGGCAACAGCUCUUACCUUUUGUCUCUGGGUCC